rnacentral:rRNA from 1 species
GAUGAACGCUGGCGGCGUGCCUAAUACAUGCAAGUCGAGCGAACAGACGAGGAGCUUGCUCCUCUGACGUUAGCGGCGGACGGGUGAGUAACACGUGGAUAACCUACCUAUAAGACUGGGAUAACUUCGGGAAACCGGAGCUAAUACCGGAUAAUAUAUUGAACCGCAUGGUUCAAUAGUGAAAGACGGUUUUGCUGUCACUUAUAGAUGGAUCCGCGCCGCAUUAGCUAGUUGGUAAGGUAACGGCUUACCAAGGCGACGAUGCGUAGCCGACCUGAGAGGGGGUGCGGCCACGGGGAAAUUGAGACGGGGUCGGGCCCCGACGGGGGGGAGGCAGUGGGAAGUUUCCCGCAAGGGGCAAAACCUGGACGGAGCACCGCGGCGGGGGUAAGGAGGGUCUGGGGACGGUAAAACUCUUUUUUGGGGAAAAACAAAUGGUGAAGGAAACUAGGCACGUUGAGGGGAACCAAAAAAAAAAGCCCGGGGCAAACAGUG